UGGGGGAUAUUGCACAAUGGGCGAAAGCCUGAUGCAGCGACGCCGCGUGGGGGAUGAAGGCCUUCGGGUUGUAAACUUCUUUUGCUCUGAACAAGGCGCACCAUGGGGUGUGUUGAGUGUAGGGGUUGAUUAGCGCCGGCUAACUACGUGCCAGCAGCCGCGGUAAUACGUAGGGCGCGAGCGUUGUCCGGAAUUAUUGGGCGUAAAGGGCUUGUAGGUGGCUGGUUGCGUCUGUCGUGAAAGCUCAUGGCUUAACUGUGGGUUUGCGGUGGGUACGGGCUGGCUUGAGUGCAGUAGGGGAGGGUGGAAUUCCUGGUGUAGCGGUGGAAUGCGCAGAUAUCAGGAGGAAUACCGGUGGCGAAGGCGGGUCUCUGGGCUGUUACUGACACUGAGGAGCGAAAGCAUGGGGAGCGAACAGG
rnacentral:rRNA from 1 species